CCUGAGGUGAAGUCAGACGCUUCACCGACUGAGCCACCCAGGCGCCCCUGGAAGCUGGGAAGUUUUGUAUUUAUGUUUGGCCUUCAGUCGGCUUUUCGGGACAUGCCUCAAGGCUCCAACAGUGACCAUCCCUCCUCAGACUCCUCUCCCGAGGUGUUUAGUCUGGACGUGAGAGUGUCCUUCCGCCCAGAAGGCGCGUUAUGUCAAAUUUCAAAUCCCCCAGAAGAGCAGAAGAACACUACAACGAACAUCUCUGGAUGCACCCCUGGUGACGAUUUUGCCUCUGUCUCUCUUGUUAUACGUGGAUGCACAUUUUUUUUUUCUGAUUCAUCGGCAAUAGUUACCAAGAUUAUGACCCCUCCCUCUUCCGCACGCAUCCCAGGAGAAGAGAGAAAAUGUCCUCUUGUCAUCGCUGGCCUUCUUGGGAGAAGGACUCGGGGGCAGGGAUUCGCCUGCGGAGCGCUCUGGGGCUGGACGUCCGGGAGAGGGAAGGAAGGUCUGGGCAGAGUGAGGAUGUGGGUUGUCACAUAGAUUCAAUAAAAGCAUGUGCAAGCUCCUCGAGGAGCUUCGAAGCUUCUUCAGAGUUAGUCCUGAGUUGCCGUGAGAGGAGCUGCCUGUCAACCAGUGAUUGGACACGGGCUGCCCUGGGAAAGGGCAUGACCUUGGAUGAGGCAGUUCCCUUCAGCCCGGGGAUCGCCCUGAAGAGUGCCAGCAACUGAAGACUGUGCUUCCAGCAGCUGUGGGAGUAAGUCCUUCCCUCCUGUGGCCAAGUGCCACUUCAUUUCGGUUCCAGGAGCUCCUCCUCCAGGACGCCAAGGGGCGUCUUUCCUGGAGGACACUGACAAGGGGAAGGUUAAAGGGGCAAAGUACAACCCCGGCCAAUGCGGCUGGGCUCAGGGCCGCACUGAUGCUCUUGCUCUGUCCAUGUGUUCGGGAUCCAGAAGCUAGCUUUGAUCUGCAAAGAAAAAAGGCCAGUGUAGCAACAUUCAUACCAGACAAGUUGAAGAUUAAAAUUCCCCGAGGCGCCUAGGGGUGCCUGGGUGGCUCAGUCGGUUAAGCGUCCGACUUUGGCUCGGGUCACGAUC